GUGCCAGCAGCCGCGGUAAUACGAAGGGUGCAAGCGUUACUCGGAAUUACUGGGCGUAAAGYGUGCGUAGGUGGUUGUUUAAGUCUGUCGUGAAAGCCCCUGGGCUCAACCUGGGAAUUGCGAUGGAAACURGGCGACUAGAGUGUGGCAGAGGGUAGUGGAAUUCCUGGUGUAGCAGUGAAAUGCGUAGAGAUCAGGAGGAACAUCCGUGGCGAAGGCGACUGCCUGGGCCAACACUGACACUGAGGCACGAAAGCGUGGGGAGCAAACAGGAUUAGAUACCCUGGUAGUCC
rnacentral:rRNA from 1 species